UUGCCGCGGGUGCAUGCAGCUCUGGAUUAUUAAAGGGACUGUUUAAAGUAUCAGCUCUCCAUUGGAAAUGUGACGGCAGCACAUUUGUGUAAGGGGCCUGAUGGGAAAUUGGGCAGCACUGCUGGGUUGGAUCCUGUUGGUGGUGCUUUUGCCAGCCUCUGUCUACUGCAGUACAGGCAUAAAGGUGGAAUGUGGAGAUGUUAAUGGAACUGUUGGCCAUCAAGUUCAUGUGAACUGCAUCGUGGAUUACACUGGAGUAGAUGAUCCCAUGAGUACCUGUGGCUUUCAGCAUUUCUACAUCAAUGGCACAGGUGUGAGCUGCUCCCAAAGCCAGCAUGAGAAGUACCCAUGUGGAACCCUCCUCACAAAUAUAACAGAUGAGAUCCAGGAUCCUCAACCAGGAAUCUAUACAUUCUUUUUGAUGACUGUCUGUGGACAUGAAGACACAACCUUCCAACUGAUGCUACAUCAAGCGAUUCCUACACAACUACCAGUUGCCCCACUUCCUCCUGAAUCUCACAAAGAUGUCGCUCCAGCGGUGGGGAUCAGCAGUCUAGUGAUCUUCAUCCUUGCUGUGGGUCUUGCUGUAUUCCUCAUCAGGAGAAGAAGAUCACGGGAUCAGGGCAGUAGAGUCCCCACAGAUGAACCCUCACACAAUGUCUAUGGUCAAGUCGCCUAAUUCCGCCCGUGUCCCAAUUUUGGCAACCUUAUGGACAGGGCCGGUUUUAGUCAAUUUGGUGCCCUAGGCAAGCAUUCCCUUUUCCCGUUUCCUUUCAUGUGCAUUUAGAAAUUGGCAUCUGUAAACAUAGCAUUGUACAUCUGAUCGAGCACAUCUGAUCUAGUACCUAAUGUACUGAGUGACCAUGAACAUUCAUUGUUAGUUUAAAGUCUAAUGUCUUAUUUCCCUUGAGGUUCUAAUUUUGUGGGAGUUUUGGUAUUCCUGGCACCCCCAAGACAUUUGGUGCCCUAGGCGACCACCUUGUCAGCCUAUGUCUAGCGGCGGCCCUGCUUAUGGAUUAGGGUACUGUAAUCACCUGGUUGAAUGGGCAGGUAAAACCUGGUCAUUUGGGAUAUGUGGCACUGGAUUGUAAAUACAUGUAGCUUCUGAGUUCAGGUUUCCCAUCACUGUUGCCCAUGACUUGACCACAUGACCACAUGGGACUAAUGACACACACACACACACACACACACACACACACACACACACACACACACACACACACACACACACAUACACACACACACACACACACACAUCUGCAAUAUUACUGUUGUACUGUAAUUCUUUUCUAUUAGUGUGUAAUACCACAAUAAUCCCCAAUGACACACACACACACACACACAAACUCUUUUUUUUGCCUUUUGGCUAUCCAGCAUAGCAUGUUCGUGUGAUUUUUUUUGUUUUGUUUUUUAUUUUUUGCUUUUACGUUUGAAAUGGAAAGUAUCUAUUCACAGGUAAUUUUCCAUGCCAGAAAUUCACAUAAUGGGGAUCCUUUGGAAAAGCUGUUUACUUUCACUUUCACCAUUUCAAUCAUUUACUGACAGAGCAUUUGUUUAUUUUACAACAUCCAAUGUUUUGUGUUCAUUGCACUGCAUGAGGGCGCAUGACUUCCUGGUAGCCUACUUGUAAAAGCAGACAUGAGGGAGGUUUACUAACGUUCCACGCCAACCCUGCUAGUUGGGCUCCGUUACACACACACAC